rnacentral:rRNA from 1 species
GAUGAACGCUGACAGAAUGCUUAACACAUGCAAGUCUACUUGAAUUUGGGUUUUUUAACUUCGAUUUGGGUGGCGGACGGGUGAGUAACGCGUAAAGAACUUGCCUCACAGCUAGGGACAACAUUUGGAAACGAAUGCUAAUACCUGAUAUUAUGAUUAUAAGGCAUCUUAGAAUUAUGAAAGCUAUAUGCGCUGUGAGAGAGCUUUGCGUCCCAUUAGCUAGUUGGAGAGGUAACGGCUCACCAAGGCGAUGAUGGGUAGCCGGCCUGAGAGGGUGAACGGCCACAAGGGGACUGAGACACGGCCCUUACUCCUACGGGAGGCAGCAGUGGGGAAUAUUGGACAAUGGACCAAGAGUCUGAUCCAGCAAUUCUGUGUGCACGAUGACGUUUUUCGGAAUGUAAAGUGCUUUCAGUUGGGAAGAAAAAAAUGACGGUACCAACAGAAGAAGUGACGGCUAAAUACGUG